UACAGAGGUCCCAAGCGUUGUUCGGAUUCACUGGGCGUAAAGGGUGCGUAGGUGGUUGGGUAAGUCUGAUGUGAAAUCUCCGGGCUCAACCCGGAAAUGGCAUUGGAUACUAUUCGGCUAGGGGUUUGGAGGGGGGACUGGAAUUCUCGGUGUAGCAGUGAAAUGCGUAGAUAUCGAGAGGAACACCAGUGGCGAAGGCGAGUCCCUGGACAACACCUGACACUGAGGCACGAAAGCUAGGGGAGCAAACAGG
rnacentral:rRNA from 1 species